AUUAUUUAUCUUUAGGUAGUAUAAAAUAUAAAAACCAAUACAACCUGGCGGUCAUUACCUUCUUGAGGAACUCGCUACCUAAUCGUCAAUACCCGUUAAAUUUAACCUUUUUUAAAAAUUUAUAUACCGCCGUCUCAUAGAGCAUUACAUUAUAUCUAAAAUAUUUAUAAUCAAUAAAAAAUCAGGUCAAGGUGUAGUUAAUAAAAAGGAUCUAGUAAGUUACAUUAAAAUUAAUUUUAGAAUUUAUCAAAAAAUCGUAAAUAAAAAAGAAUCCAUAUUCAUAAAUAAAUCAAAAUUUCAUUUAGAAUAAUAAGUAUAUGACGC
rnacentral:rRNA from 1 species